AACCUCUCUCCCUCCACCCUCCACUCUCCUCACAGGGCCAGACAUUGGCCAGAUCCAACAGAAGCCAGGGGGCAAAGAACAUUUGAAAGCUGUGUGGGAUAUGAGCUAAUUCUUUAUUUUGCAGGACUGCCUUGCAUAUUGCUGCAUAUCUAGAAUCCCUGGCUCCACCUCCAACCACGCUUCCACAAAUUUCCAGAACGACCUCUAGGAAUAGUAGCCUGUUGAGAAUCACUGCUUUACCUUAUCCAACUGAAAAAUGCUUUUCUUGUCUAGACCCUUCAAUGACCCUUGGAACAUAGAUGGAUGACAGUCAUCUGCAGCCUGUGCCAAAUAUCGGUAACCAAAAUGGUGGCGUAGGAGACCCCAGCCUCCAUCCUCUGACAAAGAUCAGCAAUUAAACAGCUAUCCAUGAAUGAAAAUAGCUCUGGGAGAGCCCAGGACUCCACUUAAGAAGCUUCAGCCACAGAGUGGAACAAAAAGAGCCUGAGAAUAACUGCACAAAAAGAGUAGGAAGAACAGCUUCAUCUUGCUGCACCAUCACAUCCCCAGUGCUGGCACAACUUAGUGCCAAGAGGAACUCCCUGGCUUGAAAGAGUUCUCCUUGCUGCUAAUUAGUAACAUAAAACAUAGGAAAAUAUACAACACACUGGUAAAGUUUCACAGUUUCUGUAGGUCAUAAAUUUGGGAGUGGCUUAGCUGGAUGGUUCUGGAUCAAGAUCUCUCAUGACUAUUGUGAAUAACGCUGCAAUGAACACAGGGGUGCAUGUAUCUUUAUGCAUUGGUGUUUUCAAGUUCUUUGGAUAAAUACCCAGCAGUGGAAUAGCUGGAUCAUAUGGUAGUUCUAUCCUUGAUUUUUUGGAAGCAACCUAAGUGCCCAUCAAGGGACGAAUGGAUAAAGAAGAUGUGGUAUAUAUACACAAUGGAAUACUACUCAGCCAUAAGAAACGAUGAAAUCCAGCCAUUUGUGACAACAUGGAUGGACAUUGAGGGUAUUAUGCAAAGUGAAAUAAGUCAGAGGGAGAAGGUCAAAUACCGUAUGAUUUCCUUCAUCAAGUAGUAGAUAACAACAAUAAACAAACACACAGAGACAGAGAUUGGAUUGGUGGUUACCAGAGGGGAAGCGGGGAGGGAGGAGGGUGAAAGGGAUAAUUCGGCACAGGUGUGUGGUGAUGGGUUGUAAUUAGUAUUUGGGUGGUGAACAUGAUGUAAUCUAUGCAGAAAUAGAAGUAUAAUGAUGUACACCUGAAAUUUAUACAAUGUUAUAAACCAAUGUUACUGCAAUAAACAAAAAAUUAAAAAAAAAGAUCUCUCAUGAGAUUGCAGUUAAGAAGUCAACCAGGGCAAUGACAUCAGUGAAAACGGCAGAGUAGGCAGCUCCAAGUGCCUGUCCCUCUAGAAAAACACUGAAAAAAUGAGCAAAAACUGUCAGAAUCAACUUUGUUGGAACUCUGAGUCAAAGGUAUACAGCAACCACCAUUCCUCUUUAUAUGUUGUUGGACUUGAUUUGCUAGUAUUUUAUUAAGGAUUUUUGCAUCUAUGUUCACAAGGGAUAUUUGUCUGUAGUCUUUUCUUGUGAUGUCUUUGUCUAGUGUUGGUGUCAGGGUAAUAGUGGCCUCAUAAAAUGGGUUGGAAAUUGUUCUUUCCUCUUCUUUUUUUUAUAGAAUUUGUGUAGGACUGUAUUAUCCCACUCAUUUUCAUUAAAUGUUUGAUGGAAUUCACCAGUGAAGCCCGCUGGGUCUGGGCUUUUCUUUGUGUGAAGAUUUAAAAUUACUAAUUCAAUGUCUUUGCUUGAUAUUAACCUAUUUAGAUUUUACAUUACUUUGUGAGUCAGUUUUGGUAAUUUUUUGCUAGGAAUUUGUUUCAUCUAACUUGCCUAGUUUGUUCGCAUGAAGCUGUGAAUAAUAUUCCCUUUUAAUCGUUUCGAUUUCUGUAGAGCAUGUAGUGAUGUAUCCUCUUUCAUUCUGAUUUUGGAGUUUAUGUCUUCACUCUUUUUUUCUUUGUCAGUUUAG